UAACAGCGCAAUUGCCCUGGUCGUUGGA
rnacentral:sRNA from 1 species